rnacentral:rRNA from 1 species
GACGAACGCUGGCGGCGUGCUUAACACAUGCAAGUCGAACGGAAAGGCCCUGCUUUUGUGGGGUGCUCGAGUGGCGAACGGGUGAGUAACACGUGAGUAACCUGCCCUUGACUUUGGGAUAACUUCAGGAAACUGGGGCUAAUACCGGAUAGGAGCUCCUGCUGCAUGGUGGGGGUUGGAAAGUUUCGGCGGUUGGGGAUGGACUCGCGGCUUAUCAGCUUGUUGGUGGGGUAGUGGCUUACCAAGGCUUUGACGGGUAGCCGGCCUGAGGGUGACCGGCCACAUUGGGACUGAGAUACGGCCCAGACUCCUACGGGAGGCAGCAGUGGGGAAUAUUGCACAAUGGGCGGAAGCCUGAUGCAGCAACGCCGCGUGCGGGAUGACGGCCUUCGGGUUGUAAACCGCUUUCGCCUGUGACGAAGCGUGAGUGACGGUAAUGGGUAAAGAGGCACCGGCUAACUACGUG